GACGAACGCUGGCGGCGUGCUUAACACAUGCAAGUCGAACGGAAAGGCCCUGCUUUUGUGGGGUGCUCGAGUGGCGAACGGGUGAGUAACACGUGAGUAACCUGCCCUUGACUUUGGGAUAACUUCAGGAAACUGGGGCUCAUACCGGAUAGGAGCUCCUGCUGCAUGGUGGGGGUUGGAAAGUUUCGGCGGUUGGGGAUGGACUCGCGGCUUAUCAGCUUGUUGGUGGGGUAGUGGCUUACCACGGCUUUGACGGGUAGCCGGCCUGAGAGGGUGACCGGCGACAUUGGGACUGAGAUACGGCCCAGACUCCUACGGGAGGCAGCAGUGGGGAAUAUUGCGCAAUGGGCGGAAGCCUGAUGCAGCAACGCCGCGUGCGGGAUGACGGCCUUCGGGUUGUAAACCGCUUUCGCCUGUGACGAAGCGUGAGUGACGGUAAUGGGUAAAGAAGCACCGGCUAACUACGUG
rnacentral:rRNA from 1 species